UACGGCUCAGUAACACGUGGAGAACGUGCCCUUUAAGUGGGGGAUAAUCUCGGGAAAUUGAGGAUAAUACCCCAUAGGUCAUGGGAUCUGGAAUGACCCAUGGCUGAAAGUUCCGGCGCUUAAGGAUCGCUCUGCGGCCUAUCAGGUAGUAGUGGGUGUAACGUACCCCCUAGCCUACGACGGGUAUGGGCCUUGAGAGAGGGAGCCCAGAGUUGGAUUCUGAGACACGAAUCCAGGCCCUACGGGGCGCAGCAGUCGCGAAAACUUCACACUGGGGGGAACCCCGAUGAGGGAAUUCCUAGUGCUUGGGCAUUUGUCCAAGCUUUUCCCGAGCGUAGAUAACUCGGGGAAUAAGGGCUGGGUAAGACGGGUGCCAGCCGCCGCGGUAAUACCUGCAGCCCGAGUGGUGGUCGAUUUUAUUGAGUCUAAAGCGUUCGUAGCCGGUCCGUUAAAUCCUUGGGUAAAUCGGGAAGCUCAACUUUCCGACUUCCGAGGAGACUGGCGGACUUGGGACCGGGAGAGGCCAGAGGUACUUCUGGGGUAGGGGUAAAAUCCUGUAAUCCUAGAAGGACCACCGGUGGCGAAGGCGUCUGGCUAGAACGGAUCCGACGGUGAGGGACGAAGCCCUGGGUCGCAAACGGGAUUAGAUACCCCGGUAGUCCAGGGUGUAAACGCUGCCGACUUGGUGUUGGGGGCCCUUCGGGGGAACUCAGUGCCGGAGAGAAGUUGUUAAGUCGGCCACUUGGGGAGUACGUCCGCAAGGAUGAAACUGAAAGGAAUUGGCGGGGGAGCACAAUCUCCAUUGUCC
rnacentral:rRNA from 1 species